GAGGAGGGCUGGGGCGGAGGCUGGGCGGGAGGAUGAGUACGUGGUCCCCGCAGGUUCUGGAUGGACGUGCGAAUUGACACGCAAUUGAACCUGAAAGUCAUAGUGGUGUAAGACAGCAAGUAGCCACAGGGACUGGGAAUGAGAAUGAGAACCACCUCCUUGAAGGCUUGCAAUUCAAGAGAAAAACACCCAGGUCCUUGAGAAGACAGUUCUCAGUGGUCAUGUGUCCAGAGUUGGUUCCUUCUGGUGGGUUCUUGGCCUCACUGACUUCAAGAAUGAAGUCAUGGACCUUUGUGCCCAAAAUGGAGUUAAUCCUGACUGGGAGAAGAAAGUAAUUGAAUAUUUUAAGGAAAAGCUGAAGGAAAAUAAUGCUCCUAAGUGGGUACCAUCACUGAAUGAAGUUCCCCUUCAUUAUUUGAAACCUAAUAGUUUUGUGAAAUUUCGUUGCAUGAUUCAGGAUAUGUUUGACCCUGAGUUUUACAUGGGAGUUUACGAAACGGUUAACCAAAACACA
rnacentral:sRNA from 1 species